rnacentral:rRNA from 1 species
AUUGAACGCUAGCGGCAGGCCUAACACAUGCAAGUCGAACGAGUGGCGGACGGGUGAGUAAUGUAUGGGAAACUGCCUGAUGGAGGGGGAUAACUACUGGAAACGGUAGCUAAUACCGCAUACCAUCGGAUGUGCCCAGAUGGGAUUAGCUAGUAGUGGGGGUAAAGGCUCACCUAGGCGACGAUCCCUAGCUGGUAUGAGAGGAUGACCAGCCACCCUGGCACUGAGACACGGUCCAGGCUCCUACGGGCGGCAGCAGUGGGGAAUAUUGCACUAUGUGCGCAAGCCUGAUGCAGCCAUGCCGCGUGUCUGAAGAAGGCCUUCGGGUUGUAAAGUACUUUCAGCGGGGAGGCGUUACCCGCAGAAGAAUCACCGGCUAACUCCGUGCCAGCAGCCGCGGUAAUUC